UAAACGGUGUCGUACUAAUUGUACCCUCCUCAUCUCUCACUUCCUUAGUCUCGAGACUCUUGACAAUUCCACCCCGAGGGCACACUCAGAAAACGAAACUUGACACCAGAAGCCCGUCACAAACCCUAAAAAAAUGUCGGGCGGCUUUUUCCGGGUAGGAAUCUCCCUUUAAUUUGUUUGGCUAUCCGCUAUUUAAAGUUUUUUGUCCGAAUCGAAUUGCUUUUUUGUGAAUUAAAAUUUGUGCGGGUUUCGUGAAUUUAGAUCUUCCUUCUUUUAGAACCUGAUUAUUAUAAUUUUAAUUUCAAUUAGGGCACAUCGGCUGAUCAGGAUACAAGGUUCUCGAACAAGCAAGCAAAACUGCUCAAAUCUCAGAAAUUCGCUCCUGAAUUGGAACACACGGUUCGUCUUUGCAAUUUUUCCAUUUAUGUAUGCUUAUUAUUUAUGAUUAUGAUUGUAUUAUUAUUUAUUAUUUUUUUGUUUAUUUUCUGUAUGAAAAUGUACUUAGGUGGACAUGUUGAAAAGUUAAGAUGGAUAUCAUGAGUUGAAGGGGUUGCCACACUGAUUUUUAUUUUUACUUUUUAAUUUUAUAUUCGGUUUCUUCUGAAUUUUUGAAAUUUUUUCCUUUUUUGUUGGGGUGGGGAGUGGGUGGGUGGGACAUAUAUUGAAUAAUGUUGAAUUUUUUUAUGAAAGUCAAAUGUGUUUCUAGGUGGACAUGGCUAAAGUGAAGAUGGAUGUUAUGAAACCGUGGAUUGCAAAGCGCGUGACUGAGCUUAUUGGAUUUGAAGAUGAAGUUCUUAUUAAUUUCAUUUAUGGUCUACUUGAGGGAAAGGUAUCUCAAAACACUGACUUGUAUUGUUUACUUGUGUGAUUGUCAGUUAGCUGAUUUUAAUUGUUUGAUGAUUGAUUUAUUAUAAAUGUGAGUUAUUGAGCUUUGAGAAUGCAGAACUAUUUUUGACUUCUUAAUAUUAAAAAUUUAUAUCUACUCUAAACAUUUGACGGUGGUUAUGUUUUAAUAGGCAAGUGAGGCCAUUAAACUGUUAAGUUAAUUUUAGAGAAUGCUUCUGCUUUGGAUAACUGUUGGUGUGGAUAUGAUUGGGUGCAGGAAGUUAAUGGGAAGGCGGUUCAAAUUCAACUUACUGGUUUCAUGGAGAGAAACACUGGGAAGUUUAUGAAAGAGCUUUGGUCACUACUUCUGAGUGCACAGAAAAAUGUGAGUGGUGUUCCACAGCAGUUUCUGGAUGCUAAAGAGGAGGAAACUAAGAACAAGAAGGUCUACUCACGCUUCCUUAAGUUUUUGGAUCUUCUAUAUCUGUGGUGUGUCUUUGUUUAAUAAUAUGUCCAUGGGGUGUUACAGGCAGAGACUGAUCGUAUCGCAAAUGAAAUUCAAAGGAAGAAAGAGAAGGAAAAGCAGGAUCUUGAGCAAGAGAUAGAUAAAAUGGUAAUUGAAAACCCUUUUUUAUGCAAAAGUUAGAUUAUAUAGAUCUCAAAUUUUGUUCCUUACUUCCUUUCAUGUUUCAUUUUGUUCAGCUUGCUUCUGUUUCUGCAAUUUUUUUGGUCAUGUCCUUUACUUCAAACUGCUGUAGGAUGGUGAUGGUGACAUCUCAAGAUACAAGAAUGCUGGCUCAGACCUAAAUUCAAAACACGAUUCGAGGUCUUCCAGCCCCCGAUUGGCAGAUGGGAAAGAGCAUCGUGAGAGAAAUGGCCUGAGAGGACGAAGCAGGUAGGAAUUAACUGGAUUUACUAAUUACUCAAAAAUUUUAAGGUACUCAAUUGGCAGGGGUUUGAUUUUAUUUUUUGGAAUGUCUUAAACUCUAAACGGAACAAAACUUAGACCACAUCUUGAUUUGCAUGUACUCCUAAUUUUCUACUGCUUAAUUUUUUGCUCUUAGGCUUUGUGUAAAUGAUAGGAAAAUCUUAUACAGGAUAAUAUUUCCCAAGAUAAAUGAGUGGACAAAAUGGAUGACUCAAGGAUAUGGAUGGAAGUGAGGUCUUGUAAACUAUCUUGGAGCUCAUAGCAAUUUGAACGAGAAUGUUAUGAAGUUGGACAGUUUUGGGUUAAUUUUUUAUGCCAGAAAUGGUUUUCUACGUAAAUAUUCUUAGAACUAGAAAGAGUAAAAAACAUGGAGAUUACUAGAGGAGGAUGAGAGAGUUUUGCUCAUUCGAGGGUAGGUCAAAAUCAUGCAUUUAAUUUCAAACUCUGUGCAUCAAGUCUACUGACAUGAAGAAAUUUUCCCACUUCAAUAAGGAUUUGGACAAAUUGGAGUAAUUUAAAAGUCUGGAGACUAUGAUCGCUUGAAAUUGGGACUAACCUAGAGUCUUGGAUUCUUAUGAAUUGCAACUUCUAAAUAUUAUUUUAAUUUUCUAGAUCAAUUAGGACUUAUGCAAUGUAAAAAGGGAUAAAUUCCAUUCGCUGUAACUAUGCUUUCGCUUUAUGUCAAUUAGGUGACUUUAGGAGUGGCGUGUGGUUUGGCUCAGUUCGAUCUUAAAGGGAAUCUAACCAAACUAAUUACCAAUGUGAAUUUUACAAAUGGAAUUAUUGGUUCCUUAUGUAUCGAACUGGAAAUGGACAAAUUGUUUCCUAUUUCUUUCGGUACUUUAUACUUAAAAUAAUGAAAAUAGAUUAUGAAAUCAAUUGUCAUUCCUAUAAUCUAACAAACAAAAAAUCAAUGAAUAGCAAGUCACUAAUAUAUUCCACAUGCUUUUUUAUUAGAGGUACUAGCUAGAAUAUUUAAAUUAUACAUAUUGUCCAAUGAUUAAAAUAACACCAAGUAUGUAAGUUUAAAAAAUAAAAAUUAAAAAAAUGCCAUUAAUCAAGAAUUACCACUAAUUUUGCUUUCCAGUUUCAAAUUCUCACUAAAUUUGCUUUAAAAUUGCCAAUUCACAAGUGAACAAUGUAAUAUGGAGUCAAAUUUGAAUAAUAAGUUAACUAAAUAUCAAAUCCCAAAUUUUAGUAGAAUUAACAAUCUACCAUAAUAAAAUUUAACUUAAGAACUCUUCAAUGUCUUCAACUUACAAAAUUUUAGUAGAAUUAACAAUCAACUGUAAUAAAAUUAAACUUAAGAAGUCUUCAAUGUCUUCAACUUAGCCCUUGUUUGACACCCAUUAAAAUUCAAAUACAUUUUUUACUCUUUUUUUCAACCAUACAUUUUUCAAUAAAAUAAUAUUACACGUAAAUUAAAAAAAAAAAAAAAUCUUUUUUAAUCACACAUCCUCCCAAAAAUACUAUUUUAUCAUACAUUUUACCAAAUUUUCUCUUUAUAAUGUGUCAAACAAGGGCUUAUCUGCAUCAAUCCUUUUAAAGAGUGAGUCCACCCCUUGCAUUGAUUUUAAAAUAUAAAAAUUAAAUGUUAAUAUAUGAACGAAAAAUUACACAUAAGAAAUUACAAAUAAAAUAUAAUUACGGUCGUACUUUCAACUAGAUCAUCAAUGAAUUUUCACAAUCAUUGAAUAAUCCUUUGUGUGAUUAUGUUUCUUAACAAAUUCUACAUGAUAUUGCAAAAAAAAAAAAAAAAAUUUUUUUUUAUAACUGUCAAUAUUAAAAGAAGCAUAAAUAAAAAGUAAAAACAAGUUUACAAUCUAAUAAACAAAAAUAAAAUAAGAUAUUCUAAUUAUCGAUUUCCAAUUUAAUAAAUUGUUCAUGAUAUUCCAUCUCUUCAAUGCCCACUCCAUAUAGUUGGUCUCCCAAGUGUAGAACAUAGCCAAUUUUGUAUAUAAAUUAAAGCCUCAAUUAUUUUGGGUGUAUUAACUCCUAAAUGAAUCAAAAACUCGCCCUACGGCACUAAAUGUCGACUCCAAAGCAACAAGAGAGAGAGGUUUGCAAGUAGAUCCCUUGCAAUCUUAAACAAAAUUGCAUAUCUUGGACAAUUUAACUUAAAAGUUGAAUUACUAGUUUUCAGUGGGGUCCAUUAGUUAUCUCUGAAUCUCAUCUUUUAACAAAUUAGCAUUGCUACUUCUUCCUUUUUUUUUUUUAAAAAAAAAAAAAUACCCAAAUCAAAAUUGUUGGACUCAUCCCAUGAUCAUCUGCAUAAGCCUCAACCAAAUUGUCAUUAAAGUCAUGAAUACCACCAUCUCCAUCAUUGGAUGCACUAUGCCAUCCUUUAUACCUAUUUUACAACUCGCGAUAAAAUCUUGAUUUCAUUUUUUCGAUUCAACCAAGCUAUUAUCAUAAAAGUGACCAAUACAAUAAACUACUUCCAACUUGUACCGAGGAUUCAAUCACAAUAGCUCUAAUAUCUGUAUUUUGUUCAUUUUAUCAACAAUCCCCCAAUACUUGUCGAAUUCACUCUUCAUGUUUUUUGCCAUAUCACUAAAUAAAAGAUCUUGCUAUGCUAAAUUUCUUCAAAAUUUGUUGAAUAUUACGAACUUCUUAAAAGUACAAAUUCGAGGUCACAUUCAAAGAUUCACUAAAAUUUUAAGUGAUUUUGUGAAAGGUUUCUAGAUACUUAAUAAUUUCCUCAUAUUUUUCCCAAUUGUCUCUUGUAAUUACCUCCUAUUUCCUUCCCAUUCUCACGCUCAUCAAAAUAUAUGCAAUAAAACCCAUAUUCCUUUGCCAUCCGAUCUAAUAGUUUCUCAAACUUAAGUGCACCAUCCAACAUCAAGUAUGUUGCAUUCCACCGAGUAAGCUAAUUUUUGCACUAAUUUCUUCUUUUAUCACAAAUCUUGAAUUUUGCUAAUCUUGAAGGGGAUGAUCCAAAAUAUUUCACGGCAUUCGUAUACUUGCUAUUGCCACGUUAAACUCUUUCAACUCAUCUUUUACCAUUACAUUCAAAAUAUGUGCACACCUUACAUGCGUAAGGGACCCACAUAAUGCCAUCCUAUCAACUUUCCCAUUCUUUAAUAUAUUUUUCGUAUUCAAUAGCCCUAUCAUUUGCACUUGUAUUAACAGUAGUAAUUAUGGAUACAUGCUCUAUUUUCUAGUCAAGCCAACAUUUUUCAGCAAGUUUUACUAUUGUUUUUCCUUUAUGGUUACGAACUAUCGAAACUCAAUAUCCUCUUAUUUAACACCCAGUUUUUGUCAAUAAAAUGGGACGUGAUAACCAUGUAAUUAAUAUAUUUAUUUAUGUCUUGCAAUUUGUGGUAAGACACAACUCUUGCUUAUUAGCAAUAAGCUUACCUUUCAAUAAUUCUCUCUUCACUAUAAAGUUUUAGCACGUCCCUAUUAACUAUUCUACGAGAUGGAAUAUCUGACUUAGGGCAUUCAUAUCCUAUAUAUUUUCUAAACCCAACACCAUCAAUAAAGCUAACGGCAAUUCAUUGACAAUAAUCAUUUUCACCAUUGCCUUCCUACAUGCUUCUUUGUUAAACACCAUAGCACCAAUAUCGGCAAUGCCACCGUUACCACCAUCAUUGUCAUUUAAUCAUCUCGUUAGUACCUUGUCUUUAAUCUAUUUGGUACUCUUGUAUGCUUUGCAAGUGUUUCCACAAGUUAGAAGUUUUAGUUUCAUUGGAAUCAUGAGCAUAAGAUUCCCACAUAGCUACAUUCUGCCCUUUUUCCCUUGUAUCUUAGUAAAAUGUUACCAUACUUUCGAUCUCACAUUCAGGCUUCUUUUAUUUUCAACAAUCUCUGCGUUCAUCUACGUGACAAAUAGUAGAAAAUACGUAAAACAAAAAACUGAUUCUAUACUAUGAAAUCAAUGGUUUUCAUGGCAACAAUCUUCAAACUUCUUAAGUUGUUCAUCCUAAUAGAAUUCAUUUCUUCCAAAGUAUACUUCAUUCUUCAUUUUGUAAUUAUAAAGAUUCAACUGAAAAAGAAUUCUAUGUUGGGAAUUGGAAAAUGGAAAUCAACUUCUAUUGUAAGUCCUUUGUAAAGAAAUAGUUGCAAAUUUUUUCCAAAUUGUAAAGACUCUUUAUCCAAAUUUUAAAGACUCUUUAGCAUGUCAUUAAUCAAAUCAAGCUAUAUCUUCGUACUCGUAAUCUACUGACUGCAAUGGGUUGUGAAAAACAUUCAGAUUGCAAUCUCUUUAGUCUUUAACGCUUAAUAAUCUAACUUAUACUGUAUAUACUUAAAGUUUACACAAUAUAAAUAUUGUCUUCUCAGCAUUAAUAUAGAUUUCAUUAAUUUAAAUAGCAUAAUGUUUCAGCAUCAACUGAUAAUGAAUUUUUGCAUACAAGAUAAAAAUAAAGUCAUAAAUUAUCACGUUGUUCAAUAAAUCCUAUAAUUGAAUUCAGUGAAUGAAGACCAAACAAGGCAACAACCAAACAAUCCAACUCCAAGCUCAAAUUUAGAUUGCUCUAGAUUUACUAAACAUUAUAUAUUUGAUAUAGGAGCAUACAAAUUGAUAAAGAACAAUAAGAAGAAAGGGGAUCAAAAGGAAGAAAUGAGGGCAAGAGAAAACUUUUAUUCAUAUAAUUAUGGUCUGUUUAUAAACAUUGUCCUAAGUCUCUUUAUAUAGAGGACUUCGAAAUUAAAUAAACUUCCUAGUAUCAAUUUGGUAUCGGAGCAAUGAGAAGAAACGGGAUCAAAUAGAAGAAUUGAGGGCAAGAGAGAUAGUUUUAUUCAUAUAAUUCAGGUCUGUUUGUAAACAUUCCCCUAAAUCUGUUUAUAUAGAGAAAGACUUUGAAAUUAAAUAAAUUUCAUAUCUAAACAAACUUGAAAUAAAAGAUAACAAUUGUCAUAAUCAAACUACUAUAAUAUAGAUAAACUGGAAUUCUAUUAAUUCUUAGUUUUUCGUCUUGAAUAGACUUUUAGUUGUUUCCUUGUUGUGUCAAUAUUGCUCCAGUCCAGAAUUCGUCGAUUAAAGUUUAAUUCUUAAAAAAAUCAUACAACAGUUUAUAUAUAAAAAAAUACAUCUAGGUAUUUUAAUUCAAACUCGAUUAUCUUCAAUAAUGUCAAGGUGAUCUCGAGAAGAUCUUGAUUCUUGACAUCAUAUCAAUUUUGAUAAAAUGAGAGAUUUGAGUUCUUGCGAAAGAUCAAAUAGAAGAUAUAUUUUUCCCUUUUGGGGUUUGCACUAAAAUUAUGAAUUUGUAAAGUAUUUAUAGAAUUAUUUAGAACGUGGAUUUUGAUAUUUUGAAUCUUGAUUACGGAGUAGGUUUUCCUUACAAAGGAUAGAGUCAGAAUUGUAGAAGUGUAUCAAAAGGUGGUGUGAGAUAAUUCUUGACCUAGGACUUUAUAGCCUGUUUGGUAUGGAUUAUUUUAAUCUAAGUCAACGUCAAACAAUCAAUAUUAACCACAUCUUUCAUGGUUUCCAUAACUUUUCAACCAUAAAUUUCAAAAACUUCUAUCACGAUCUACUGAAAAAUAUAAUUUUAAUCCCUACCAAACACCCUUUUAAUGUCAAAAUAUGAGGACCUGGUAUAUCUUGGUGCAAUGCACCUAUGUAAUAUAAAUUUUGGGAAAAUCAUCUGUUCUCAUGGCUGCACUGAAAACCAGAUCGAGCCACUUAGUAAAGGAAUAGGAGCCUGGAAAGAUUGUCCACCUCUAGGAAAUUGUACUUCAAUUUUGUUCAAUUGGGUAACUAAAAUUUUUCAUUUCAAUUGGAUAAUUUGAUUUUAAUCAAAUAACUAGGUUUUGAUUUUAUUUAAAUUAAAGUAACUUCGUCCAAUUCCACCAACAAAAAUUGAUGACGUGGCUAUUUAUAAAUUUUGGUCAUCAUACAUAACCGUCAGAUGCUAAUGGGAAAUAUGUACAACUUAAGUGAAAUCAAUGACGACCGUCGUUUUUUAAUUGUCACGUCAUUGAUAUUGUCUGUCCAAGUGAUAGAAUCAUAGAAAUCCAUUUGAAAUCAAAUUAAAGUGUAGUUAUACAAUUAAACAAACAUCAGUAUCUAGGUAUUGACUCCAGAUGAAAAUGUAGUUACCUCAAAUGGAAUUUAUCCAUGUAAAAACCUAGUAAGAAUGAAAUAUGCCUUUGGAGAAUCUAUAUUUCUAAUAUAUAUCAAUUAUCUAGGAGUAACAAAACAUCAUUCCUCUUUUGUUUGCUAAUACAAGGUGAUUGAUGUUUGUUUAGGUACAGCCUUGUAGGUUUCAAAAACUCGACUUUUCCACAUAGUAAUUGCUACUGGAGUAUACAUAUGUGCAAUUGAGUUUUCUUAUCCAAAAUAUUGUUUACUUGCUAGAUAUAUAUGUCGAAAAGUGUGCUAAAUCACCAUUGCUGCAAACAAUCAAGUUCUUUUGGGGCUUUUUGGAGGCUUUCACCUCCAUAAGUAUUUGUUUUUUCCCAAGAAGUUUCGAUUCCAUUGUUAAGUGGUCUCAAGUGAUGUUUUGUCACAUAUAUUAGUUUCGAGUUUUUUGUAUCUUUUCUUUUACCCAUCUUUUUCUUUGUUACUUGAUGAAGAUUGUUGAUUAUUAGCAUUAUAUGAGUUAACAAUCAAUUAAUAAGAUAAUGGGUAUCAUGAGAUUUUAGGUGUUAUAUGUUAAGCCACUUUAUGUAAAAGCUUAAGUUAUUCAUAUUUUGUCUUUGCCUAUCAUGCACACAUUUUGAUAAAUGCAUUUUUUUGUGGGCAGCAUUGCCGCCUCUCGUAUAACGUAGAACCAUUUUUGUCUGAAAGCUUAAGCCAUUAUAAGGGGAUACAUUUAUUUAUUCAAGUUUUAUUUUCAAAGUUAUGGAAUAUAUGUAGUGUCUUGAAAUUAAAAAUGUCAAUUUCCUUGUAAUUCCUCAUGGUUUGAACUCCGUGCAACGGAUAAGCGUAUUAAAGAGCCAUACAAAAGUGCAAUUUUUUUUUCUUCGUUUACUUUGGCUGUAAUGACCCGGACCUCUCGUCCAAGCCGUUAGUUUACGUACUGUCCGCUUUGGGUGGCCACUUAUCCCUCACGACUUUUCUUCGCGUCCCCCAGGAUUCGAACUCUUGACCUCUACAUAAAAGAGAUUUAAGUUGAAUCAUUAUAUUAAUUGGAAAAAAUGCGCGCGUUUUUUUGUAACGACCCGGACCUCUUGCCCAAGCCAUUAGCUUACGUCCUGUCUACUUUGGGUGGGCCUUGCGCCCACUUAUCCCUCACGGCUUUUCUUCGCGUCCCCCAGGAUUCGAACUCUUGAUCUCUACAUAAAAGAGACUUAAGUUGAAUGCUCUAAAACAGACAGGACGUAAGCUAACGGCUUGGGCGAGAGGUCCGAGUCGUUACAUUGACCCAUCUUAUGAAUGAACCAUUGCAAUAUGCAUGUCACACACUUGACACUGUACUCUUAUUAGAGCUUGGAGUGUCAUGCUGAGUAUUAUUGAUAUUAGCUUGCUCCUGCUCUUAUACUGUUAUGAUUUUUAUGACCAGCAUUUUUAUUUUCAUUUAUUUAUUUGUUUAUUUAAUUUUUUGUUUCAUUUAUGUAUUGCUUUCUAUCUUUCCAGUUCAGUUAGAUUAAUGCUGGUUACACUUGUAAGUAACCUCAGACUGGGCUGAGAUGUUUUUUGGUUGACAAAUAUUAUUUGUAGAACAUCUUUAAUAUGCUGACUGGAUGAUUUAGAUUAAUAUUUGUUUCAUUUGCACAGGGUUCCACAAUCUCCUGAUUCAGCUGACCGUUCCCCAUCUCCAAGGUAAGUAUUUUGAUCAUGAUAACCUCUGGUGGUCUCUUCUACUUAAUUUUUUCUUGCUCCUUAAGAAUAAGCUUUUGGUUCCCUUUAGCAGCAGGAGGCCUUCCAGGCCAAUUAGCAAAUCCUUUUCCAAUUCUAAAAGUUAUUCUGAGUGGAUUUCCAUUUGAUGUCAGAGUGUGCUCAUAAUUUUGAUAGAUUGUGAUUUGUUAUCUGGUUUUCAUUUUAGUGAAAGACGGAGGUCAAGAAGUAUAUCUGGAUCACCUCCACCGAGAGGACGGUCCAUUUCCUCUGAGAGGCCACGUCGAUCUUCACCAAGACUGUCUGGGACACCGAGGAGGAGGCAUUCGCCUCGUCUCUCUCCUCCACCAAGGUAUAGGUCAACCCGCACUAGGAGAAGAUCUAUAUCGCAUUCAAGGCACAGGUCUCCUUCUCCCACACGAUAUAGGGUUCGUUCCCCUCUGCGUCGCAGGUCACGAUCUCCUUUGCGACGUAGAUCAAGAUCUCCCGUGUGGCGUAGGUCAAGGACACCAAUACGAAGAUCACCAGUGCAAUACAGGUCCCGUUCACCCGUGCGACGCAGAUCACCACCUGUGCGACGCAGAUCACCACCUGUGAGACGUAGAUCACCGUCUCCUAUCCCACGACGAUCACUGUCUCCUAUGCGACGACGAUCACCUUCCCCCCCUCGUCGUAGGUUGCCAUCCUUUCGUCGUAAGUCACCAUCCCCUCAUCGUAGGUCACCAUCUCCUGUAAGAAGGCAGCACCGACGAUCACCUUCAACUCCACGGCGCCAGUCUAUAUCCCCAGUUCGGCACAGGUUACCAGUGCCCAGUCGAAGAAGAUCUAUAACACCUGCCAAACGAAGGUCUCCUUCAGUGCAAGAAUCUAUUUCCCCCUCUCCCAGUUCCCUUUCACCAGUCAGGAGGCGAUCACUGAAAAGCCAGAAAUCACCUCUACGAUCUCCCAGAGAAGCAAUCAGGUACUUUAGAGCAUGUUAGCUGCUUUCGAUCUUUAAGAAUUUUUUGAUAUUUGUAUUUUAUUUUGCUUUCAAGCGUAUGGUUUGCAUGUGUUUUUGUUACUGUUACAGUUUAGAUGCUUUAGUGCACAUCUGCAGCAAUGAUAAUGGCGGAACAGACAUUUUUUUUUUUUUAAAAUUAGGAUGCCUAGGAAUACGACAAAAACAAAUCAAUUGAGAUGACACACCCCUUUUAAGCAACUGUGAUAUGUCACGACAGUGUAAUGGUUCAUAAAAAAGAGAACAGGACGUUAUCUACAUAAAAGAACACUGAAGAGACAACACAAUGAAAUUAUGUGCUUAAGACUGUUGGCAUCCUUCCACAUAACACCUAAGCACAGCCCAUAUGAACCAUAACUCAACCAAUCUACUCCAGUUAUUAAAAAAAACCUCGUGUCUUCUUUAUAGAAUAAAAGGAACAUGCUUGAAAUACAGACCUCUAAACGAGGAGGUGCCUCAAAUGGCAAGAUCAUUAAUUUGUUUAUCCAAUAUUCUACCUUUUUGCUGGCACUUCAUUCUUAACUGUAGAUAAAUAGUUCAUUGAAUUGCAACAGAACUUUCCUAUAGCUUUAGUCGGAGGGCAGAAAUGUGAGUUAAUUUUUUUUCUGUAAGGUCCAUUUCCUAGUUUGAAAAGAAUUCAUAUUUUUGUUUUUAUUGUUUAAGGGACAGGGAAACAUGCAAUAUAUCAUGAUGAUGUGGCAGAUAAAUGAAAAUAUUUGAGUGUUGGUAACAGCCACACAAGAAAAAAGUGUGCUCUUUGUUUAAUGAGGUUGAUCAUGAUAUUUCCAGUAUUGCCACUCUCCUUUUUCUUCCCUCUGGUUUUAUCUCUGCUUUUUCCUUUGAUCUCUUGGAAGAACUGGGCUUUCAAAUUAGAGAAACUGGGGUAGAGAGCUGAGAUCUCUAUUAUAUAUCUGGUGAAUUUUGCACGAUUUUGUGUUAUGAGAUGACCAUCUGUACUAUUUCGACUUAUUGCUCUAUUUCCAUUCAAACUGGAUUCCCAUCUGCAUGCACUUUCCUAGUUUGCAGUAGCUGUAAAAAUUUUGAUGCAUAAAAUUCCUGCUGCUGGGGAAUAUGCAUAGAAAGCAGGCUUACUUGAUCUUUGAUCUCUCUAAACUCUAAUCCAAACUCUGAACUGUAGGCCUCUUGUUUCUUUGAGAUCACCGCAAAGGGACAUGCUGGAUCGAAAUGACCAACGUGGAAGAGUGCUGGAUCCGUCUCCUCUGCACAAGUCUCCAUCUGCUUCCGAAGUGUCUGGGGAAGGAAAUCAUAUUGAACGGCAGAGGUUCAAACCUCUAUCUAUAUCUAC
rnacentral:lncRNA from 1 species